rnacentral:rRNA from 1 species
UACACUCCUGCGGGAGGCAGCAGUGGGGAAUUUUGGACAAUGGGCGAAAGCCUGAUCCAGCAAUGCCGCGUGAGUGAAGAAGGCCUUCGGGUUGUAAAGCUCUUUUGUCAGGGAAGAAACGGUGAAAGCUAAUAUCUUUUGCUAAUGACGGUACCUGAAGAAUAAGCACCGGCUAACUACGUGCCAGCAGCCGCGGUAAUACGUAGGGUGCAAGCGUUAAUCGGAAUUACUGGGCGUAAAGCGUGCGCAGGCGGUUUUGUAAGUCUGAUGUGAAAUCCCCGGGCUCAACCUGGGAAUUGCAUUGGAGACUGCAAGGCUAGAAUCUGGCAGAGGGGGGUAGAAUUCCACGUGUAGCAGUGAAAUGCGUAGAUAUGUGGAGGAACACCGAUGGCGAAGGCAGCCCCCUGGGUCAAGAUUGACGCUCAUGCACGAAAGCGUGGGGAGCAAACAGGAUUAGAAACCCCAGUAGUCCCAUGA